AUGUAUAAAAUACUCUAGAAAGAACUAAAUGUAUCCAGAAAUAAAGAUACGAGAAAAAGAUUUAGAAAACUUCAAUAAUGCCGAAAUCAAUAAUGCUAGACCAACCGAAAUAGGUGACCGAAUCCUUGACCUGCUUAGGUGGAACUGGGGCCAAUAAUUAAAAAAGAAAAUGCCAAAUUCUUUUGUUAUUUAAAAUAUAUUUUUGUACGCCAUAGAGGUAGAAAUCAGGCUCACGUGCAGACCCAUUUUCCUAUAUUUCUUUUCCUAAACCCUAUUUUCCACAACAGUUGUAUUCUUCCUCCAGAGCACCUCAGUAGGUUCCAUAGCGCCGCACCUAAUCUCAAAUCGUUUGUUCAACGCCGACAACGCUGCGUUAGUAGCUGCACUAGAAGGAUCCAACCUCUCCAUUCGUCAUACAUCUACAUAAAGAGGUGAAGAAUCAUAUGACGAACGAACAAAGAAUCAUAUGACGAACGAAGGAGGUGAAGAACUAUUUGCCAUGUUUCAAUCACGAUGCUAAUAAUCUGAUCAACAAGAUGUGAAUAUUUCUUUUAAUGUGACAAUACACAAAGGAAGAGCAAAUGCGGACGGAGAUAAGAAAGGAAAGGGGCAUGAAUGUGUUGUAAUAAUUAAAUGUAAUGACCUUAUUUUACUUAUGCAUUUGAUGGAUGUCGUAGUUUCUUUGGAAUGUAGUAGUAAAGUAAUUUCGUUUUGUAAUUAUAGUUUUUGUAUUAAGACUUUAUUUCCUAUGUGUAUAUGGUAGUAGUUGCAUUCCUAUUCUAUAACACUUUGUCAUUUAAAA